GGGGCUGUGGCUCCGUGGUAGAGCACUCGCCUAGCAUGCGUGAGGCCCUGGGUUCCAUCCUCAGCACCA
rnacentral:tRNA from 1 species